UGCCGGUGCGAGGAGGUGGUGGGGGCCCGGACGUGCGCCAUCGCGGGCAGCGGCUGCGACUUGCGGUCCAGCGACGCGUACCUGGUGGCCAGGGGGGCGUACAACUCGUACAUUCACCGGCUGCAGCUCGGCGUCGUGGACUUUGACGUCCUGCAGAGCUUUGACAAGAUGGUGCUGGUGAACCCGAUGGUGAGCUACCAGGAGAAGCUGGACAUCACCAUGGACUCACAGAGGGACCUGCAGGCG
rnacentral:lncRNA from 1 species